rnacentral:rRNA from 1 species
CGGGACGGGUGAGUAAUGUAUGGGGAUCUGCCUGAUGGCGGGGGAUAACUACUGGAAACGGUAGCUAAUACCGCGUAACGUCGCAAGACCAAAGAGGGGGACCUUCGGGCCUCUUGCCAUCGGAUGUGCCCAGAUGGGAUUAGCUAGUAGGUGGGGUAACGGCUCACCUAGGCGACGAUCCCUAGCUGGUCUGAGAGGAUGACCAGCCACACUGGAACUGAGACACGGUCCAG